UGGGGAAUUUUGGACAAUGGGGGAAACCCUGAUCCAGCCAUCCCGCGUGUGCGAUGAAGGCCUUCGGGUUGUAAAGCACUUUUGGCAGGAAAGAAACGUCAUGGGUUAAUACCCCGUGAAACUGACGGUACCUGCAGAAUAAGCACCGGCUAACUAUGUGCCAGCAGCCGCGGUAAUACGUAGGGUGCAAGCGUUAAUCGGAAUUACUGGGCGUAAAGCGUGCGCAGGCGGUUCGGAAAGAAAGAUGUGAAAUCCCAGAGCUCAACUUUGGAACUGCAUUUUUAACUACCGGGCUAGAGUGUGUCAGAGGGAGGUGGAAUUCCGCGUGUAGCAGUGAAAUGCGUAGAUAUGCGGAGGAACACCGAUGGCGAAGGCAGCCUCCUGGGAUAACACUGACGCUCAUGCACGAAAGCGUGGGGAGCAAACAGG
rnacentral:rRNA from 1 species